UACAGAGGUCUCAAGCGUUGUUCGGAUUCAUUGGGCGUAAAGGGUGCGUAGGCGGCGCGGUAAGUCGGGUGUGAAAUCUCGGGGCUUAACUCCGAAACUGCAUUCGAUACUGCCGUGCUUGAGGACUGGAGAGGAGACGGGAAUUUACGGUGUAGCGGUGAAAUGCGUAGAUAUCGUAAGGAAGACCAGUGGCGAAGGCGGGUCUCUGGACAGUUCCUGACGCUGAGGCACGAAGGCCAGGGGAGCAAACAGG
rnacentral:rRNA from 1 species